UCCCAAAGAAGAUGUGGACAUCCGAUGCUGUUCUCGGAGGGCAGGAUUUGCCAAGUCCGUGUAUGAAUGCGUGAGUGAAGCCAUAGAAAACAGCUGGCCCUUCCAUGAUGUUUCUGUACCAAACUGUCCAGCAUACUGGCACUGGAUAACGGGCAGCUUUUUCAAAAGAUGUGUGUGGCACUCUGAAGAAUCUGUCAAGAUGAAGUCUCUGCUUCUGCAAGCUCACAGUCUGCGGUCCUGAUCCUGUAACUUACUCUGCAUGGUCCUUUCCUCAUGGAAACCUAAGCAGUCAAGAGCAGGACAUUGUGACAGUGACCCAGGAAGGGAGAAGGGUGGUCACGCUUCCGAACAGGAGCCAUUUUGCAAACGAGGAAGGAGCAGCACCUACCCUACUCCUGAGCUGCCAGCUCUCUCCUGGGGUUCAAGAAAACCAGAAGGCAAACCCCCAAAGCUUUCUCCUUUUCCACGGUGACAUGACAGAACAAAAUGGGAUUUCCUUCGAAGCAGUAACAGGACAGGCUUUGCAGCAUUCUUACAAGGGUGAAUUUAGAUGCCAGAGAGUGGAAUUUCCAAAUGCAUUUCCCUUCCUACACCUUUUCUUUUUCAUCUCCAUAAAUCUGUGUCAGUUUUUAAAGAACCUAUUUUGGGGGAAGGGAGAGGAGACAGAACAAGUGAUGAGCUAUUCAGAGCUAGGAGAAGAGAUUCAUGCUGCCAGAGGUAAGAUUGUAGAAAAAUGUGUCAGUGUAGCAGAUGAUAGUUCUCCUCUCUUAAUGCCUCUCCUGAAGCAUCAAGGUAUACGUGUUUCUCAAAGGGGCUGUAUGUCUCAGAGGUAGUCUAUGAACUGCGUGUUGAAACGGUUGCCAUGGCAGUGACUGAGUGCACGUUAGAAAGCGUGAUUAGCCAGAGUUGGCCUAAAUUGCUGAAGGGAAGGAAAAAAGAGAGGAAAGAAAAAAAAAAAAAGGCCAAGGACUUUCUGUUAUUUCUAAUACAGAUCCAUCAGCAUCAGACCGUGCUGGGGAGAGGAAGCGGCGCUGAUGGAGAGGAGCGUGCGGGAGCACGCCCCAUGCCCCAGCCCCAGCACACGCUGCCAGGGGACCCGCGCCCCCCUACAAGGUGCCAUUAGUACAGACCAGUCCUGCUAGUGUCAAUUCAGUGAAAUGGUGCUUCUCCAGAGUCGGAGGUGAGGAGGCCAGGGCACCGCUCAGCUGCCAGUGACCCAGACAGGACGGUCACGGCGCUCGCCUGCCUGAUGCCUGGCACGGCCGCAUUAGAAAGUGAGGCUGGCCUGCAGAAGGGUUGCCAGGCUUGCCCCAAGUGACACAGAGGGCUGCUAGCCUGGGUGGGGUGUAAAUAGGUGAACUCCCUGUCCCUAGAGCCAUUCUGAUUCUUCUAGCCCAACUAACCUAUGUCUGCUUGAAGUGUACCUCGGAAAGGUAUCCCAUCUUCAUUUGGAGCCUGAGAACUGGAGAACACAGCCCUUUUGGUUAAUACAUUGCAGUGGUUAAUCACGCUUACUUGUUAAAAAAAAUAAUUGCACCUUAUAUCUGAUCUAAGUGUGUACGGUACUAGCAUUCAGCCUCUGGUGCAUGCUGUGUUUUUCUCUGCUAUAUUUAAAAAAAAAAAAAUCACUUCUUGAGAUCCUGUAGAUUUUUGCUGUGAAGGUUUCUUAUGCACUAUAGUCACUUUUGAGCUUGUUUUGAAGAAGCAGAAUUCUUUCUAUCCAAGGGUUUUCUUUUAGCUCUUCUCAGGGAAAAGUGGAAGACUAGGAGACUAAGGUGACAAUGUCUCAGUGCCAGGUCUGGAUGGAAAAACGUCCUCUCUAGAAGCUGUAGAGUGCCACAUUAGGGGGCCAGAUGCCCAGUGUAAAAUCAACAGAAGAGAUUAAUUCAAGCUGAGAGUAUGCAGGUAGGUGUUUGCAGGAGCAGAGCCUGUUAGCCUGAUUGUCUUCUCUCAUAGCUUUCUAAAAUACAGAAGUUUAAUUUACAUUAGCCUGGAGUGCUUCUGCUUCCUAGUCCUUUGAGUGAAGUAAGAUAUGAAUCUACUCGGGCCAAUCCAUAACAUUUGACCACUUACCAAGGAUAUUUUUCUCCCCUCCUGUCCUAAGGGACCUGUAGGUUCCUCCUUUAGGAGGAGUACAAACCAGCAGUAUGUACAUGUGGUUAAUGGGCGUCUUUUUUGGCUAGCAGAGCUGGGGCAAGAGAGAUCAUAUGGCCUGCACUUUAGGAGGAAGAAAAGAAAAGCCCACAAGACACCUAUUUGCCCUGCAUAUCAGGUUGGCUUUUGCCAUUAUUUGCAGGAGUCUCUUCCACUACUUGCACCUCCUAAAUCCCUGUCAUCCAGGUUUGAGAGCUGGGACUAUCUUCUUUGGCACCAAGUCAACAAUUCGUUUUUUAGCACCAGCAGCUACUCAUAUUUUACAUUAGUGUUCUUCUCUGUUCCUUUCAAGCAAUAAUCAUAAAUAUCAGCUUUCAUUCCUAGAGCACCUUUCAUCCCAGGGGCUCCCAAAGCACUUUCCAAGCUUAACAAGCUUAUUGUAGCGUACUCCUUUAGAAAGGGUGAAACUCGCUUCCCAUUAAAGCCUGAUUUGGGGAAGAAAAACCCCAAAUUAUAACGUCUUCAAUACACAAGGGAGCCUUUGCAGCUGUUAUUUACUGUACAUGUUCCCUUACCAAAAAGAUUGUUUCUUGCUCUUACAUCCCCCCCAUCUCCCCCAGCUUAAUCCAGCAGUGCUCAGUUACCCUGGGGGAGGAGUGCAAGUAAUGAGAGAUGAUUGUCCCCUGUGAUCUGAGGAAGUGCUUUUCUUCUGGAAUCCUAUUGCUGCCCUCAACAGUUUCUUUUGGCAACUCCAUUUCCAUCCAGUCUGUUUUCUCUUUAUCGGGGCAAAUGUCCUAGCGCAGAGUUGAAUCUCCCAUGGCUUUAGCCAGCAAAGUCACCAGCCACGGUUGGGCUGUGCUAAGGACCAUGCAAGAGACUCUAGUCCUCUUCAGGACAAAGUCAGCUGGCCUAAUCUAAGUCACAUUCCUCUGCAAUCAAAGCAAAACUGGUUGCUUUGCACUGAAAUGAAUCAUGACCUUUCAAAUGGUCCUUUAGUUGGCUCAUCUGUGAAAGUACUAAGCCUAGAAGGGAAGAUUGCUGCUGGUAAUUUCUGAAUGGAAGAAUUUGUUUCCUAAUAAAUCAUAUGGUCAGUUUUAGGGCAGCUCGAAUCUGAUCAGUGUCAAUUUGCUUUCAUUGGUUUCAGGAGGACUCAGUAUGGUGGGACCUAUCCAUCUCACGAUGCACAGAGCUUUCUUCCAUGCUGGCUGUGUGGAAAAGUGGUCUCUCCUCUGGCCCAGAUGAGGCACGCAAACUCCCGUUGCUUCUCCAAGGACACACCAAGAGCCUGUGGUAGAAGGGGGAACAAAAGCCCUAUCUCUGGUUCAGUGCUUCCACCACGCAAACAUAAUUUAUCAAUAUAGAUAGCUUUAGAUGAAAGAUACAUCAAAGCAUGUUUUUGGCUGCUGCCUUCAGAGGUAGUGCUAAAUUUCCUGGGGGAAUGCAAGCAGUGAGAUAUGAUCCAAGUAUCAAAAUCCCCAUCUUACUCUCCCUCCUCCUCGCUCACACUGGUCAGGUUCACAGGGAAGCCCUUCCUUGGGGUUGUUAUGUCAUCUGUUCCCAUCACUAGAUUUUGGUUCAGAAAUGCAUUUUUGUUCUUUUCCAACAAAACACUGCCUAUUCCAACACCAACUCUGAAGAUCUGUAAAUUGGCAAACGAUCCACAAAGAAUAAUGAACCAGCAGUUAGUGUUUACAUUGGCCACCUUGUGUAAGUGCCGAUAUUAGCACUUCUGAAAGGAUUCAUUCACCCCUGAAAAAAGGUUUGUACCUGUGAAUAAAAGCUUGCUUGGGAGGGCCUUUGUGCCACCUUUCCUCUACAAACAAAACUUAAAAACAUCUAGAGAUGGUUUUGCAAUGGAUAUUAAUGCAUACCUAUUAUUUCAAGAUGCAAAUAAGCCACUGAAAAUAUUCCAUGCCUAUUUGUGAUGGUGUAAUGAG